rnacentral:tRNA from 1 species
AUUUAAAUAGCUUAAGAUUUAUAGAGUGUAAUAUUGAAGAUAUUAAGGUAAUUUAUAAAAUUUUUAAAUA